rnacentral:rRNA from 1 species
UACGAAGGGGGCUAGCGUUGCUCGGAAUCACUGGGCGUAAAGGGUGCGUAGGCGGGUUUUUAAGUCAGGGGUGAAAUCCUGGAGCUCAACUCCAGAACUGCCUUUGAUACUGAAGAUCUUGAGUCCGGGAGAGGUGAGUGGAACUGCGAGUGUAGAGGUGAAAUUCGUAGAUAUUCGCAAGAACACCAGUGGCGAAAGCGGCUUCCUGGUCCAGCACCGACGUUCAGGCACGAAAGCGUGGGGAGCAAACAGG